UACGCAAGGGGCUAGCGUUGUUCGGAAUUACUGGGCGUAAAGCGCACGUAGGCGGCCUUGUAAUUUGGGGGUGAAAUCCCGGGGCUCAACUCCGGAACUGCCUUCAAGACUGCAAAGCUAGAGGACGCGAGAGGUUAGCGGAAUUCCGAGUGUAGAGGUGAAAUUCGUAGAUAUUCGGAAGAACACCAGUGGCGAAGGCGGCUAACUGGCGCGUUUCUGACGCUGAGUUGCGAAAGCGUGGGGAGCAAACAGG
rnacentral:rRNA from 1 species